AUUGAACGCUGGCGGCAGGCCUAACACAUGCAAGUCGAACGAGUGGCGGACGGGUGAGUAAUGUCUGGGAAACUGCCCGAUGGAGGGGGAUAACUACUGGAAACGGUAGCUAAUACCGCAUACCAUCGGAUGUGCCCAGAUGGGAUUAGCUAGUAGGUGGGGUAAAGGCUCACCUAGGCGACGAUCCCUAGCUGGUCUGAGAGGAUGACCAGCCACACUGGAACUGAGACACGGUCCAGACUCCUACGGGAGGCAGCAGUGGGGAAUAUUCGACAAUGGGCGAAAGUCUGACGGAGCCAUGCCGCGUGUAUGAAGAAGGUUUUCGGAUUGUAAAGCUCUGUUAGUGGGGAAGCGGUAUUCGCAGAAGAAGCACCGGCUAACUCCGUGCCAGCAGCCGCGGUAAUAC
rnacentral:rRNA from 1 species